AACGAACGCUGGCUGCAUGCCUAACACAUGCAAGUCGAACGAGACCUUCGGGUCUAGUGGCGCACGGGUGCGUCACGCGUGGGAACCUGCCCUUAGGUUCGGAAUAACUCCCUGAAAGUGGUGCUUAUACCGGCUAAUGUCUUCGGACCAAAGCUUUAGCGCCUUUGGAUGGGCCCGCGUUGGAUUAGCUAGUUCGUAGGGUAAAAGCCUACCAAGGCGACGUUCCAUAGCUGGUCUGAGAGGAUGAUCAGCCACACUGGGACUGAGACACGGCCCAGACUCCUACGGGAGGCAGCAGGGGGGAAUAUUAGACAAUGGGCGAAAGCCUGAUCCAGCAAUGCCGCGUGAGUGAUGAAGGUCUUAGGGGUGUAAAGCUCUUUGACCCGGGAUGAUAAUGACAGUACCGGGAGAAUAAGCGCCGGCUAACUCCGUG
rnacentral:rRNA from 1 species